rnacentral:rRNA from 1 species
GAUGAACGCUGGCGGCGUGCCUAAUACAUGCAAGUCGAGCGAAGCGGGGACGGGUGAGUAACACGUGGAUAACCUCCUAUAAGACUGGGAUAACUUCGGGAAACCGGAGCUAAACCGGAAACUUAUAGAUGGAUCCGCGUGGCAUUAGCUAGUUGGUAAGGUAACGGCGUACCAAGGCAACGAUGCAUAGCCGACCUGAGAGGGUGAUCGGCCACACUGGAACUGAGACACGGUCCAGACUCCUACGGGAGGCAGCAGUAGGGAAUCGUCCACAAUGGGCGAAAGCCUGACGGAGCAACGCCGCGUGUGUGAUGAAGGCCUUCGGGUCGUAAAACACUGUCAGUAGGGAGGCGGUACCUGAACAGAAAGCCACGGCUAACUACGUGCCAGCAGCCGCGGUAAUUC